ensembl:lncRNA
GGCUGAGACGCAGCGGAGCGGAGGUGGAAGUGCCUGGCUUAACCUUCAGUUACUCUUUCUAUAGUUAGACGAGUGAUCCAGAGUUUGUCCUGAAAUAAGAGCUGAACAUUUAGGUCCAAACAUCACAGGAACAGUCAAACUGUUAAAGGAGGAAACUACGGUGGCCUUGAGAGGCCAAAUGGAGUGCAACUUAAGAAAACACCAACAAUAAGAAAAACGCUGCUAAAGCACACAAAACACAACAGAAAUAGGAAAAAACAGAUUUCCAAAAGCACACGGGAAGUGUUUCUGGGGAGACAAUAACCUGAUGGACGAGUUGCAGGAACUGAAAAUAUGCUAAGACACUUAAAAGAAGAAGUGGAGGAUCUAUCGGUUU